UACAGAGGUCUCAAGCGUUGUUCGGAAUUACUGGGCGUAAAGCGCGUGUAGGCUGCUUGGAAAGUCGGAUGUGAAAGCCCUGGGCUCAACCUAGGAAGUGCAUUCGAAACUUCUGAGCUGGAGUGCUGGAGAGGAAGGCGGAAUUCUCGGUGUAGAGGUGAAAUUCGUAGAUAUCGAGAGGAACACCGGUGGCGAAGGCGGCCUUCUGGACAGCCACUGACGCUGAGACGCGAAAGCGUGGGGAGCAAACAGG
rnacentral:rRNA from 1 species